UGGCCUCUAGCUCAAUGGGUAGAGCGUCCGCCUGUUAAGCGGAAGAGUCCAGGUUCGAGCCCUGGGGGGCCAGCCA
rnacentral:tRNA from 1 species